UAACUGGCAAAGAAAUACCUAGGCCUAUAGAGGGUAAAUUAGUUUCAGUUUUUCAACUGAUUUAAAGGAGCCAUGUAGAUGACGUUGACUUGCUCAGAAAUUUGUCGCCCUCUAGUGGCAGCUGAUUUUUGGUUCGAUGGAGCAAGCUGAGUUUGUUUGUUACCGAAUGUUUUGAUUUGUCAAAAAUCGUAUUCUGAGGGAUAUUCAGUUCACAAAAGGGCACAGAGUUUUCACGGAGUUACAUGGAUGGAUACGGAGACGUAAAAUAAAGAUUGACAACUCCCGUAAAA